rnacentral:rRNA from 1 species
UAGGGAAUAUUGCCCAAUGGACGAAAGUCUGAGGCAGCAACGCCGCGUGCGCGAUGAAGGCCUUCGGGAUGUAAAGCGCUUUUCGGGGAGAUGAGAAAGGACAGUAUCCCCGGAAUAAGUCUCGGCUAACUACGUGCCAGCAGCCGCGGUAAAACGUAGGAGGCAAGCGUUAUCCGAAUUUACUGGGCGUAAAGCGCGUGCAGGCGGUUCGGUAAGUUGGAUGUGAAAUCUCCUGGCUCAACUAGGAGAGGUCGUUCAAUACUGUCGAACUUGAGGAUGGUAGAGGGAGGUGGAAUUCCCGGUGUAGUAGUGAAAUGCGUAGAUAUCGGGAGGAAUACCAGUGGCGAAGGCGGCCUCCUGGACCGUUCCUGACGCUCAGACGCGAAAGCUAGGGGAGCGAACGGGAUUAGAAACCCCGGUAGUCCUAGCUGUAAACGAUGCAAACUUGGUGUUGGUGGGGUAAAAUCCGCCGGUGCCGAAGCUAACGCGAUAAGUUUGCCGCCUGGGGACUACGGCCGCAAGGUUA